rnacentral:rRNA from 1 species
GAGUUUGAUCGUGGCUCAGGAUGAACGCUGGCGGCGUGCUUAACACAUGCAAGUCGAACGGAGAUUAUACGCAGAGGCGAUUUCGGUCAAAUCAUGUGUAAUCUUAGUGGCGGACGGGUGAGUAACGCGUGGGUAACCUGCCUUACACUGGGGGAUAACACUUAGAAAUAGGUGCUAAUACCGCAUAAGCGCACGAAGCCGCAUGGAUUUGUGUGAAAAACUCCGGUGGUGUAAGAUGGACCCGCGUCUGAUUAGCUUGUUGGCGGGUAACGGCCCACCAAGGCGACGAUCAGUAGCCGGCCUGAGAGGGUGGACGGCCACAUUGGGACUGAGACACGGCCCAAACUCCUACGGGAGGCAGCAGUGGGGGAUAUUGGACAAGUGGGGGAACCCUGAUCCAGCGACGCCGCGUGAGUGAAGAAGUAUUUCGGUAUGUAAAGCUCUGUCAGCGAGGGAAGAAAGAAAUGACGGUA